UGUCCCACAGUGGCACCAGGUGUCCUAUGGCACUGGUGCCAAUCCCAUGGUGGUGACAGCUGUUCCCAGAUGAUGGUGGCAGUCCCAAGAUGGUGACAGCUGUCCCAUAGGGGUGACAUCAGUCCCAAGACAGUGGUGACUGUCCCACAGUGGCACCAGAUGUCCCAUGGCACUGGUGACAGUCCCAAGGUGGUGGUGACUGUCCCAUAGUGGUACCAGGUGUCCCAUGGUGGUGGCAGCAGUUCCAAGGUGGUGACAGCUGUCCCAUAGUGGUGACAUCUGUCCCAAGAUGGUGCUGGCUGUCCCAUGGUGAUGCCAGGUGUCCCAUGGCACUGGUGCCAAUCCCA